rnacentral:SRP_RNA from 1 species
GCCAGGUGUGGUGGCGCGCGCCUGUCAUCCCAGCUACUUGGGUGGCUGAGGCAGGAGAAUUGCUUGAACCCAGGAGGAGGAGGCUGCAGUGGGCCAAGAUCAUGCCACUGCACUCCAGCCUGGGCAAAAGAGCAAGACUCUGUCUCAU